rnacentral:rRNA from 1 species
CUGACCUGCCCAGUGAUGAAUUUAACGGCCGCGGUAUAUUGACCGUGCAAAGGUAGCAUAAUCAUUAGUCUUUUAAUAGAGGGCUGGAAUGAAAGGUUUAACGAGGAACUGACUGUCUCAUUUUAUUUGUUUUAAAAUUUAAUUUUUUAGUUAAAAAGCUAAAAUUUUAUUGGAAGACGAGAAGACCCUAUAGAUCUUUAUAAAAUUAUAUUUAAUUAUUAUGAUAUAAAUAUAAUUAUAAAUAUUUUUAUUUUGUUGGGGUGACAAGAAUAUAAAAUUAACUUUUUUAUUUACAUAACAUUGAUUUAUGAAUAUAUGAUCCAUUAUUAGUGAUUAUUAGACUAAGUUACCUUAGGGAUAACAGCGUAAUCCUCCUCCAGAGUUCAUAUUUACAGGAUGGGCUUGCGACCUCGAUGUUGGAUUAAGAUAAUAAUCAGGUGUAGCCGCUUGAUUUAUAGGUCUGUUCGACCUUUAA